rnacentral:rRNA from 1 species
UACGUAGGGGGCUAGCGUUGUCCGGAAUCAUUGGGCGUAAAGAGCGCGUAGGCGGCUAGAUAAGUCCGGUGUGAAAGUCACAGGCUCAACCCUGGGAUGCCGGUGGAUACUGUCGGGCUCGAGUCCGGAAGAGGAGUGUGGAAUUCCCGGUGUAGCGGUGAAAUGCGCAGAUGUCAGGAGGAACACCAAUGGCGAAGGCAGCACUCUGGGACGUGACUGACGCUGAGACGCGAAAGCGUGGGGAGCGAACAGG